GCGCCCGUAGCUCAAUUGGACAGAGCGUCUGACUACGGAUCAGAAGGUUAGGGGUUCGACUCCUCUCGGGCGCGCCA
rnacentral:tRNA from 2 species